rnacentral:rRNA from 1 species
UACGUAGGGUGCGAGCGUUAAUCGGAAUUACUGGGCGUAAAGCGUGCGCAGGCUGUUUUGUAAGUCAGAUGUGAAAUCCCUGGGCUCAACCUAGGAACUGCGUUUGAAACUACAAGGCUAGAGUGUAGCAGAGGGGGGUAGAAUUCCACGUGUAGCAGUGAAAUGCGUAGAGAUGUGGAGGAAUACCAAUGGCGAAGGCA